GAUGAACGCUGGCGGCGUGCCUAAUACAUGCAAGUCGAGCGAACGGACGAGAAGCUUGCUUCUCUGAUGUUAGCGGCGGACGGGUGAGUAACACGUGGAUAACCUACCUAUAAGACUGGGAUAAUUUCGGGAAACCGGAGCUAAUACCGGAUGAUAUUUUGCACCGCAUGGUUCAAAAGUGUAAGACGGUCUUGCUGUCACUUAUAGAUGGAUCCGCGCUGCAUUAGCUAGUUGGUAAGGUAACGGCUUACCAAGGCUACGAUGCAUAGCCGACCUGAGAGGGUGAUCGGCCACACGGGAACUGAGACACGGUCCAGACUCCUACGGGAGGCAGCAGUAGGGAAUCUUCCGCAAUGGGCGAAAGCCUGACGGAGCAACGCCGCGUGAGGGAUGAAGGUCUUCGGAUCGUAAAACUCUGUUAUUAGGAAAGAACAUAUGUGUAAGUAACUGUGCACAUCUUGACGGUACCUAAUCAGAAAGCCACGGCUAACUACGUG
rnacentral:rRNA from 1 species